AAAACGACUCUCGGCAACGGAUAUCUCGGCUCUCGCAUCGAUGAAGAACGUAGCGAAAUGCGAUACUUGGUGUGAAUUGCAGAAUCCCGUGAACCAUCGAGUCUUUGAACGCAAGUUGCGCCCCAAGCCGUCAGGCCGAGGGCACGUCUGCCUGGGUGUCACGCA
rnacentral:rRNA from 1 species